GCAAGACAAGGAAAAGGCAAGGAAAGGCAAGGAAAAAGAAAAAGCAGGCAGAGGCAAGAAAAGUCAGGAAAAUAAUAGGCAAGGCAAGGCAGGGCAAGAGAGGAGAGUAGAGGAGAAAGAAAGAGAAAGGAGGAAGGAAAGAAAGAAAGAAAAAAGAAAAUAAGGCAAAAAAGGACAAAAGAAAACUAAUAAGGCGCGCUGUAGUUCCUACUUCACUGCUUGUCUCAAGCUGCAGUGGAUUUAAAGUGCAACCUCAAACAGCAUGAGUGUUGGCAAUGCUCUAUCUAAGCCGAAGCAUGACGAUGACAACAUAACAUGAAUAAAAAAUGUGAGUGUGGAGUAAUUGAGAGGGGAGGGAGCUUUUUGUAAGCAUUUGUUUGCAGAUAGUUUUAUGAUGAUUCAAUACAGUUGAUGUAAAAUCUGGCUGAGUUGAACUGGGUGUCAGCCAGCCCGGUGUGGCUACUAAAAUUUAGCCGAAAAUGAUAUUUUAUACCAAUUUAUUUAGGUGAGGAGAGGGGUGUUGCCUUUUGGGGCGGCAUCCCCCCCGCCAGCCCAGCCGCGAGGGCUGGUUCUGCUCCCCAGGGUCCCCCGCCACAAGCCAGUACAGGCGUUUGGCAGGCUGGUGGUGAACCACGUCAGAGAGCUGAUCCAGGGGGAAAAGAGGAAAAGGGAGAGAGGGGUGUUUUCUUUUCUUUUCCCAGGCUGUUUUUCCUGCCCUCGGCCAGCUACUAAGCGAGAGACCAGUGGGGCCUCCCAGAAGCCCUCCAGCAAACCUGCAGCAACGCGACUUGGUAUUUCCCCUGCUGCCAAGGGGUUUUGUCUGCCUGCAUUAACUCCAGCAGCCUUAGGAUGGGAAGGCUGGCUUAGCACAGCUGGCUGCGCUUUCAAGGCUCAAACCGAAGUGCUGCUCUUUCCUUUCAGCCGUGGGUGCAGAGGCUUCGACGCCGUGAAGAGUACAACUUUGACGCGCAGCGUGCAGGAAGGCAAAACACAACCCAGCUCCGAUUGGUUUAACCUACCGCGAGGGAUGCUCCAAAUUCCUCCCGAAAAACGUCAUUUUUGAGCCUUCGAUAGGAGAGAUGCAGAGGUUCUGUGGAAGGCGACGGGGCCAGCUUUCUGCAGGAGGGACGGGUGGUUUUGCAGCGUGUUCCUGGCAGAAGGAGAGAGGUGUUUGCAUCCAAGCUCUGAAGCCAUUACAGGAAAUUUUGCAAGGAAAAAUGGAAAGGACUGGUCGCUGCCCAAGACGCGCCAGAUUUCGGGAUGGAAGAGGAGUUGGUGAGCCAACCUGCACGUCAGAGUGUUUUGCAGUUGGAUCUGUUCCCUGGCCUGGACAGCUCAUGAUAUUUUAUGGAAGCCUAGUGCCAGCACGAGGAAGAGGAUGAGCAUGGACACCCUUAUCGGUGCCAAGGUGGACUUUUAAGUCAAUUAUGUGAAUAUUUCUUGAGUCUUUCCAAAGACACUGAAAUUACUGCACAAGUGCUAUAUGCCCUUGCCUGUUUUCCAGGAACGGGGAUUGAAACAGUUACUCCCUCUGCUACUAUUGAAUACCUUUUUCCAAAGGCUCCCUUGGGAAUGGGCUGCAGACCGAGUGAUGCUUUCUGGAAAGCUGCAUGGGUCAUAGCUGACCGCUGCUGCUUUGGGGUGGAAAUGCUGCGGUGAUGCCUCUUCUAUGUUGCCUGCACU